AUUGAACGCUAGCGGGAUGCUUUACACAUGCACGUCGAACGAGUGGCGGACGGGUGAGUAAUAUUUCGGAACGUGCCCAGUAGCGGGGGAUAACUACUCGAAAGAGUGGCUAAUACCGCCUACUAUUGGAGCGGCCGAUAUGGGAUUAGCUAGUUGGUGGGGUAAAGGCUCACCAAGGCGACGAUCCGUAGCUGGUUUGAGAGGAGGACCAGCCACACUGGGACUGAGACACGGCCCAGACGCCUACGGGAGGCAGCAGUGGGGAAUAUUGGACAAUGGGGGAAACCCUGAUGCAGCCAUCCCGCGUGUAUGAGAAGGCCUUCGGGUUGUAAAGUACUUUUGGCAGAGAAGCGGUAUCUGCAGAAUAAGCACCGGCUAACUACGUGCCAGCAGCCGCGGUAAUUC
rnacentral:rRNA from 1 species